UACGUAGGUGACAAGCGUUGUCCGGAUUUACUGGGCGUAAAGAGCGCGCAGGCGGUCGAUCAAGUCGAGUGUGAAAGCCCCUGGCUCAACUGGGGAAGUGCACCCGAAACUGAGUGGCUUGAGUACUAAAGAGGGUCGCGGAAUUCCCGGUGUAGAGGUGAAAUUCGUAGAUAUCGGGAGGAACACCGGUGGCGAAGGCGGCGACCUGGGUAGAGGCUGACGCUGAGGUGCGAAAGCGUGGGGAGCAAACAGG
rnacentral:rRNA from 1 species